AGGAUUAACGCUGGCGGCGUGCCUAACACAUGCAAGUCGAACGAGGUAGCAAUACCUAGUGGCAGACGGGUGAGUAACGCGUGGUCAACCUACCGUUGAGUGGGGGAUAACUAGCCGAAAGGCUAGCUAAUACCGCAUACGAGUUUCGGGGGCAUCCCUGGAUCUUAAAAGGAGCAAUCCGCUCGAUGACGGGACCGCGUCCCAUUAGCUAGAUGGUGGGGUAACGGCCUACCAUGGCACCGAUGGGUAGCUGGUUUGAGAGAGCGACCAGCCACACUGGGACUGAGAAACGGCCCAGACUCCUACGGGAGGCAGCAGUGAGGAAUUUUCCGCAAUGGGCGAAAGCCUGACGGAGCGACGCCGCGUGUGGGAAGAAGGCCUUCGGGUCGUAAACCACUGUCGAAGGGGACGAUAAUGACGGUACCUUGGAGGAAGCCCCGGCUAACUACGUGCCAGCAGCCGC
rnacentral:rRNA from 1 species